AUAAAGCACCAGAACAUCUACAAAUAGCAUCCUGCUACAUAACGAAUGUUGAGAUGCUGAGGUGUCUCGCUUCCAUUCAUUAUUCACAACUAUCUAUGAACUAUCAGUCAUGGCAAUGCUCAGACUGGCCAUCUUGUUAUUCAUCACCAUGUACCAUCACACUUUAUUGCCCCUAUGCGCAUGAUUUGAUAGUUUCAGACUUAAGCGACUUUUGUUCUCUAUCUCUACUUGUAUGGACGUUACUGACUGCAGCUUCACUGGCCGUGGGGUGAGUGAACUUCUGUUCUGGAAUGUCUUGAAUGUAAAAUUAAUGAAUAUCAGUUGAUACGUCAUGAUGUCAUAUUGGUCAGUUUAACAAUAGAAGGCUACAACCUUAAGAUUGACAGUGCAACUUCAGUCAUAAGAGGUAAGUGGUAGGUAUAAAUGAAUAAGAGUUUUAAUUAAAAUCAAGGCACACAUACUUACAUAUAAAUAAUGA